CAGCUUUAGAGACUUCAUGAUCUGAUGCGUCCGAUAAUGCUGCUAAAGCCGAAUGAUCCAGGCGAGCGGCCAUGAGCUUCCAUUCUUCUGGACAACGAGGAAUCUCACCUUUCCUUCUGUCACUACUUUAUUCCAUUGUGUGUAAUGUCAGAGAAACCUGCCAUAUACAAUAAUUAGAGAUGAGCGAAGUUUACAAAAAUUCGAUUCGGCUGCUUCGCCGAA